rnacentral:rRNA from 1 species
UACAAUGGAGAGUUUGAUCCUGGCUCAGGAUGAACGCUAGCGGGAGGCCUAACACAUGCAAGCCGAGCGGUAGAGAUUCUUCGGAAUCUUGAGAGCGGCGCACGGGUGCGGAACACGUGUGCAACCUGCCUUUAUCUGGGGGAUAGCCUUUCGAAAGGAAGAUUAAUACCCCAUAAUAUAUUGAGUGGCAUCACUUGAUAUUGAAAACUCCGGUGGAUAGAGAUGGGCACGCGCAAGAUUAGAUAGUUGGUGAGGUAACGGCUCACCAAGUCAAUGA